ensembl:snoRNA
GAGCAAUGAUGAAAAAGGUUUUACUACUGACCUUUGUAACCAUGAAGGUUUCUUUCUACACUUGACCUGAGCUCA